rnacentral:rRNA from 1 species
UUAUUAAAAACAUGGCCUAUUGAAAAUAAUUUUAGGUCGGGCCUGCCCAAUGAUAAAUUAAAUGGCCGCGGUAAUUUGACCGUGCAAAGGUAGCAUAAUCAAUAGUUUUUUAAUUGAAAGCUUGUAUGAAAGGUUUGAUGAAAAAAUAACUGUCUCUGUUUAAAUUUAUUAGAAAUUUAUUUUUAAGUGAAAAAGCUUAGAUAUAUAUAGUAGACGAGAAGACCCUAUAGAGUUUUAUAAUUAGUAGGAGAAAUUAUAUUUUAGAAUCUAAAGGUUUAUUUUAUAUAAUUAUUUAGUUGGGGUGAUUGAAAAAUUGAAUGAACUUUUUCUUUUAAAAUUCACUUAUUUGUGUGUUUUUGAUCCUUUGUUUGAGAUUAUAAGUUUAAAUUACCUUAGGGAUAACAGCGUAAUUUUUUUUGAAAGUUCUAAUUGAAAAAAAAGUUUGCGACCUCGAUGUUGGAUUAAAGUAAAUUAUUGGUGUAGAAGCUAAUAAGUAGGGUCUGUUCGACCUUUUGAACUUUACAUGAUCUGAGUUUAAACCGGUGUAAGCCAGGUCGGUU